rnacentral:rRNA from 1 species
GACGAACGCUGGCGGCGUGCCUAAUACAUGCAAGUAGAACGCUGAAGGCGGAGCUUGCUUCUCUGGAUGAGUUGCGAACGGGUGAGUAACGCGUAGGUAACCUGCCUGGUAGCGGGGGAUAACUAUUGGAAACGAUAGCUAAUACCGCAUAAGAGUAGAUGUUGCAUGACAUUUGCUUAAAAGGUGCAAUUGCAUCACUACCAGAUGGACCUGCGUUGUAUUAGCUAGUUGGUGGGGUAACGGCUCACCAAGGCGACGAUACAUAGCCGACCUGAGAGGGUGGUCGGCCACACUGGGACUGAGACACGGCCCAGACUCCUACGGGAGGCAGCAGUAGGGAAUCUUCGGCAAUGGACGGAAGUCUGACCGAGCAACGCCGCGUGAGUGAAGAAGGUUUUCGGAUCGUAAAGCUCUGUUGUAAGAGAAGAACGAGUGUGAGAGUGGAAAGUUCACACUGUGACGGUAUCUUACCAGAAAGGGACGGCUAACUACGUG